rnacentral:rRNA from 1 species
CACUUCUAAGGAAGGCAGCAGGCGCGCAAAUUACCCAAUCCUGACUCAGGGAGGUAGUGACAAGAAAUAACAAUAAACCGGCUUAUGCCGGUUUAAUUGGAAUGAGUACAAUUUAAACAUCUUAACGAGGAACAAUUGGAGGGCAAGUCUGGUGCCAGCAGCCGCGGUAAUUCCAGCUCCAAUAGCGUAUACUAAAGUUGUUGCAGUUAAAAAGCUCGUAGUUGGAUUUCUGUGGGGACGGAGCGGCCGGCCGCAACUCGCGGUUCGAGCUAGCGCUUUCCCUACAUCCUGCCGCGAACCGUGCUACCAUUAGUUUGGUGGCGCCGGGGAUCGGCUCGAUUACUUUGAGAAAAAUAGAGUGUUCAAAGCAGGCCACAUGCCUUGAAUAAGUUAGCAUGGAAUAAUAACUAAGGACUUCGGUUCUAUUUUGUUGGUGUUCGGGACUGAAGUAAUGAUUGAUAGGGACAGUUGGGGCGAUCUGUAUUCCAAAGCGAGAGGUGAAAUUCUUAGACCUUCGGAAGACAAACAGCUGCGAGAGCGUUCCGCAAGGAUGUUCCCUUUGAUCAAGAACGAAAGUUGGGGGAUCGAAGACGAUCAGAUACCGUCGUAGUCUCAACUAUAAACUAUACCAGCUAGGGAUCGGCCAACGUUAUUUUAUACCGACUUGGUCGGCACCUUAUGAGAAAUCAAAGCAUCUGGGUUCCGGGGGGAGUAUGGUCGCAAGGCUGAAACUUAAAGGAAUUGACGGAAGGGCACCACCAGCCGUGGAGCCUGUGGCUUAAUUUGACUCAACACGGGAAAACUUACCAGGUCCAGACAUAGUAAGGAUUGACAGAUUGAUAGCUCUUUCUUGAUUCUGUGGGUGGUGGUGCAUGGCCGUUCUUAGUUGGUGGAGUGAUUUGUCUGGUUAAUUCCGUUAACGAACGAGACCCCAGCCUGCUAAAUAGCGCGCGUGAGCUUUGCUCGCGGCGAGCUUCUUAGAGGGACUCUGAUGCGCGAUAGCACAUGGAAGUUUGGGGCAAUAACAGGUCUGUGAUGCCCUUAGAUGUUCUGGGCCGCACACGGGCUACACUGAUGCGUUCAACGAGUUUAUAACCUUGUCCGGUGGGAUUGGGUAAUCUUUUGAAAACGCAUCGUGAUGGGGAUAGAUUAUUGUAAUUAUUGGUCAUGCAACGAGGAAUGCCUUGUAAACGCGAGUCAUCAGCUCGCAUUGAAUACGUCCCUGCCCUUUGUACACACCGCCCGUCGCUCCUACCGAUGAAUGUUCCGAUGAAAUUUUCGGAGAGCACCUGUGAACUUGGCUCUGCCUUGCGAACGGGAGGCUCAAAGUCACUUAAAUCUGAACAUUUCGAGG